rnacentral:tRNA from 3 species
GCUCCGGUGGUGUAGCCCGGCCAAGCAUGGAGGCCUCUCGAGCCUCAGACCCGGGUUCAAAUCCCGGCCGGAGCA